GGAGCCAAUAAAGUUCCAUCGAU
rnacentral:siRNA from 1 species